rnacentral:rRNA from 1 species
UACGUAGGGGGCAAGCGUUGUCCGGAAUCAUUGGGCGUAAAGCGCGCGUAGGCGGCCCUGUAAGUCCGUUGUGAAAGUCGAAGGCUCAACCUUCGAAAGCCGAUGGAUACUGCGGGGCUAGAGUCCGGAAGAGGCGAGUGGAAUUCCCGGUGUAGCAGUGAAAUGCGUAGAGAUCGGGAGGAACAUCAGUUGCGAAGGCGACACGCUGGGCCGUACCUGACGCUAAAGCGCGACAGCAUGGGGAGCAAACGGG